ACACCCAAGCCAGCAGGCAACCUGCUUGGGUCCCCUUCCACGUCGUGGAAGCUGUGUUCUUUUGCUCUUCACAGUAAAUCUUGCUGCUGCUCACUCUUUGGGUCCUCACUACCUUUAUGAGCUGUAACACCACGAGGGUCUGCAGCUUCACUCCUGAAGUCAGUGAGACCACGAACCCCCCAGGUGGAACAAACAACUCCAGACGCGCCACCUUUAAGAGCUGUAACACUCACUGUGAAGGCCUACGGUUUCACUCCUGAAGUCAGUGAGACCACGAACCCAGACCAACUCCGGACACAUCUGAACAUCUGAAGUUCCCUGGUAUGACUUAGCUGAUAGCUCAUCCUUCACAAGAAUGCUUACAUGAAUGGCACCCGAGUUGGAAGGAAAAAAGAUCCAGUGGAUCAUUUCAGAAUUUAGUUUGGCUCUCCCCACACAGGAUUUAACCAGGCUGACAGAUUCAGCACAGGAAAGUAUUUUAAUGUAAUGAUAUACCACCACUUCUAGACCCAAUGACAAGAUGAAAAUCCAAGAGCAGGCAUAAAACACCCAUGAAGAAAUGACAGAGCUUGAAGUCAGUGUGAAUAAUUUCUGAAUCAUAAAUUCACAAAGGGAACAGGGAAAAGAAAGGAGAAAAGGAGAAGCAAAGAGGAGGGGGAAAAGUUGAGUAGCUUGUUCCACCCACCUCAAAUGCUGAAUUUAAGAGCUUUCUGCACAUUCAUGUUUCCCAGUGACAGGGCUUCAGGUACAUCAAGUGGCCCACAAUCGCAGAUGCAUUAGAAGCUCUGCUUCAAUUGUGUUCAGAGGCCAAGUGUGUACCCAGUUAGGUAAUCAGGCUUUUUCAUGUUGACUACAGAUAUCCUCAUCACGUGCGCAGUUGUGCAUAAUGGAAAACAUGUAAUGUUCACAAUGGCUUCCCUCAAACUUCACUUUCCUUUCCCAGAUAUCUGCUGCCUGUCUUUGCUCCUGAAGUGCAUCACCAUUUGAUGGGAAGCUCUGUAAACCUAUAUUUAGUGCCUGAGAAACACCCUCUUCUCUCUUUACCCUCAGGAUAGCUAAGAUCAGCACUUCUGUUAAUAGUUUCCAGGUUUGAACUCUAAGCAACUAAGCUACCCUUGGAAUUUACUUUUUCUCACAGACAAAUAAAGAUUGAGGAAUACUACGAAAUCUUUUUUUUAUUAGCAUGUCCAGAUAGAAAUUCUCUUGUAUCUUUGGCCACUCCAUUUCUUCUUGUCAGUGUUAAAACUGGAAUUUAGGAUGCAUAUGCUGUUAAAAGAUCUGGAAUUUAUCAUAAAUGUACAAAUUGAGAAAUAAAGCGUAAUUAUGUACCACUAUGCACAUCUAAGAGAAAAAGCCUGCAGUAUAGCCAAAUAUGAUGUUCCUGUUGGCAUGUCUAGCCUGGUGGUCCUUUGCAUUACUAUGCAUGUAAUAUGUUUACAGGGUAUGUCAUCACCCUCUUCUUGGCAGCAGAAACCAAGCAGAGUCUAAAACAUGGGAGACUUUUAAUAAAUGCCUACCAAAUUACAUUGAGAAGUCAGUGGCCUCUAAACAUAUUUGGAUCUGACUCUACCUUUUUUCAAUAUGUUUAUUGUUUCUAGUUAUGAAUAUCUACAUAGAUGUGCCUUUCCAUCUUUUGAACUAGAAGAGAAAUAAAUAGGGAGGAAAGAGAAUUCCGCAACUAAUUCCAACCCACUGAUUUCAUUCCUACUGGUUCCUAGAAAUAGGCCAAAAAAUAGGAGUAGGCUACCUCCAUGCUGACCUGCAAGUUCAUUUUAAUAUUAACUACUAUGUCAGGCCGUAAGAUGACCUAAUAAGCACACAAUAUCUGGAGAGCUAAGCGGAGUUAUUCCUCAUACCUAAGGCGACUUCUCUCUCUGAAUAUUUGUAUGCUGGAUUUGUCUCUGAAGCUAAGCUUGGUAUGGGAAAAUGGGAAACUAGAUAACUGAACAGCUAUUACUUGUUAAACUGCAGUUGGGGUAACUAUAAAUAAGCAGAAGAAAACUCAGGUUUAAAGUGCCUUAAGUGCAGCUUGAAGCAACAUACCUAGAACCCUGAAGUCGGUGCAGCUAGAAUGAAGCAGGACUCUGAACAAAACCUUUCCCGUAACUAAAAUCUCUGUACCUGCACAUUUUAUUUUCAACACAGUAUUCUUGGUAAAGAGUUCUUGAAAGCAUCAGAAGCCAUAAAUAAUGCUAUGUAAUCAAAGACUGGAUAUGAAUUAGAGUUUACAAGUUUGUCAUUUUUGCCUUUAAAAAAUGUCAGAAAUAUGGUGUCUGUAGUGAUCUCAUUUUCUGAAAGGAAUCCAAUUGCAGACAAAGGAGGCUUUCUCUAGAAGCAAGGGAUGUAAAGCUUGAGAAAUAUGGAUUUAUAAUGAAUACUUAGAAUCACGUUAAACAUUGUUCUCCUAGAAAUAUCAAGUUAAUUAUUGAUAAACACCCUGAUGUCACGAUCAGGUUCAAUAUCUAGGGGUUCAAUUUCUGUUUCUUAGUGAUCUUCAAUAUCAACAGCUAUUCAGAUUUUCAGGUGGCUUCUGUUUUAGGUUUUUAUUUACUUUGGUUUGUAUUUUGCCUCAUUCAUAAUAAAACACAAGGUCAUUCCUACUUACACUGUUCCACAAAGGUUACCUUGCACACAUUAUAAGCAGGUAGACCCUGUGAGUCAAAUAUAGCACAUAGCUAUGUUUGGUUUGACUCCAACACUGUUUGAAAUAUGUGAAAUUUUUUAGAUAUCGAUAAAUUCUUCCAUUCACAAUGAUUCUUACCACCCCCUAUUGUAUUUACCCACAUAUUUACAAUUAUCUUUUUUAAUCUUUGUAGGCAUCAGAGUUGGCAUGCCCUACCCUAGAUUCUGGGCUUCCCGUGAUGCAAAAAAAAAAAAAAAAAAUCUUUAUUUCACACUGGGUCAAUUCCAUCAGCUUGCACUAAAUAUUUACAGGAGUUCAUUUAUUAAAUGUUUGUUGAGCAGCUUCUAUACACUAAAUACUAUGCUGGGCACUAGUGACACAGUAACUUCAUGCAGCUUCCAUUCACAUUGGGGAUGGGAGGGUGAAUUGACGAUAAAUAAAUACAUUUCAGGUGGUGAUAAAUAUUAUGUAAGGAAAAAUAAAGUAGAGGAAGGAGAUAGAGUGUGACAGGGGAUGCUAUUUUCAACAAGUUAUCAGGAAACAUUCUCUCUGAUGAGGCGAUAUCAUAGCAAGCACCUGAAUAAAGUGACAGAAUGAACAAUACAGGUAUCUGGGGGAAGAGCUUUCCAAGCAGACACAGGCCCCCUCUUAAAGGAAGCGUCAUCUUUACAAUGGUAAGAGUUUCUACCUCUAGCACACUCUUGAUUUCUUGAGCUGAAAAUAAAAGAAAAUUGCUAGUCGUUUUCUCCUUAAUUCUCUCAGUGUUUUUUCCACUUGGUUUUUUAAACCAAGUGGAAAAUACAUCAGUAAUUUUCAAACUCUUCUUUCACUAUUACAACUUGAUGCUUCUCUUAUCACUGAAACAAUAAUAAUAGAAUUUUGCUACUCUGGAGGAAAAUGUCUAUUGGAAAAACUACUUAUAGAUAAUGCUCUCACCAAAAAUCCCUAGGUUACUUCUAACAGCAAGAACAAUGAAUAAUAAGCAAGGGCAUAUUUAUGUAAAAAAGAACCAUAUCCCUUUUGCAAGUAUUUUUAAAAUAAUAGAAUAAGUGAAUAUUCUGCCUGCUUUUUUUAAAAAAGAGUCUGUAAUUAGCGUAAAUUAGUAAAGAAGUCUAAUUUGUGUUUUUAAAAAUAGAAAUUAUGUUAGAAUUUUAAAAAGACCUGAGAGAUUAUUUUCAUCAGUUCCCUCUCUUAGACAGUAAGGAAACUAAAGCUCUCGGGGUUUAAAUGGUUCCAAGGACAAAGAGCCAUUUAUUGGCCAUGCUGGAACUGGGAGCCAAGGUUUGUAAUUUGUAGACUAGUACUCUUAUAUUGUGUAGAGCACAUUGUACUAG